UUAAAUUGAAGAGUUUGAUCAUGGCUCAGAUUGAACGCUGGCGGCAGGCCUAACACAUGCAAGUCGAACGGUAACAGGAAACAGCUUGCUGUUUCGCUGACGAGUGGCGGACGGGUGAGUAAUGUCUGGGAAACUGCCUGAUGGAGGGGGAUAACUACUGGAAACGGUAGCUAAUACCGCAUAAUGUCGCAAGACCAAAGAGGGGGACCUUCGGGCCUCUUGCCAUCGGAUGUGCCCAGAUGGGAUUAGCUUGUUGGUGGGGUAACGGCUCACCAAGGCGACGAUCCCUAGCUGGUCUGAGAGGAUGACCAGCCACACUGGAACUGAGACACGGUCCAGACUCCUACGGGAGGCAGCAGUGGGGAAUAUUGCACAAUGGGCGCAAGCCUGAUGCAGCCAUGCCGCGUGUAUGAAGAAGGCCUUCGGGUUGUAAAGUACUUUCAGCGGGGAGGAAGGGAGUAAAGUUAAUACCUUUGCUCAUUGACGUUAUCCGCAGAAGAAGCACCGGCUAACUCCGUGCCAGCAGCCGCGGUAAUACGGAGGGUGCAAGCGUUAAUCGGAAUUACUGGGCGUAAAGCGCACGCAGGCGGUUUGUUAAGUCAGAUGUGAAAUCCCCGGGCUCAACCUGGGAACUGCAUCUGAUACUGGCAAGCUUGAGUCUCGUAGAGGGGGGUAGAAUUCCAGGUGUAGCGGUGAAAUGCGUAGAGAUCUGGAGGAAUACCGGUGGCGAAGGCGGCCCCCUGGACGAAGACUGACGCUCAGGUGCGAAAGCGUGGGGAGCAAACAGGAUUAGAUACCCUGGUAGUCCACGCCGUAAACGAUGUCGACUUGGAGGUUGUGCCCUUGAGGCGUGGCUUCCGGAGCUAACGCGUUAAGUCGACCGCCUGGGGAGUACGGCCGCAAGGUUAAAACUCAAAUGAAUUGACGGGGGCCCGCACAAGCGGUGGAGCAUGUGGUUUAAUUCGAUGCAACGCGAAGAACCUUACCUGGUCUUGACAUCCACGGAAGUUUUCAGAGAUGAGAAUGUGCCUUCGGGAACCGUGAGACAGGUGCUGCAUGGCUGUCGUCAGCUCGUGUUGUGAAAUGUUGGGUUAAGUCCCGCAACGAGCGCAACCCUUAUCCUUUGUUGCCAGCGGUCCGGCCGGGAACUCAAAGGAGACUGCCAGUGAUAAACUGGAGGAAGGUGGGGAUGACGUCAAGUCAUCAUGGCCCUUACGACCAGGGCUACACACGUGCUACAAUGGCGCAUACAAAGAGAAGCGACCUCGCGAGAGCAAGCGGACCUCAUAAAGUGCGUCGUAGUCCGGAUUGGAGUCUGCAACUCGACUCCAUGAAGUCGGAAUCGCUAGUAAUCGUGGAUCAGAAUGCCACGGUGAAUACGUUCCCGGGCCUUGUACACACCGCCCGUCACACCAUGGGAGUGGGUUGCAAAAGAAGUAGGUAGCUUAACCUUCGGGAGGGCGCUUACCACUUUGUGAUUCAUGACUGGGGUGAAGUCGUAACAAGGUAACCGUAGGGGAACCUGCGGUUGGAUCACCUCCUUACCUUAAAGAAGC
rnacentral:rRNA from 5 species